rnacentral:rRNA from 1 species
AUUGAACGCUGGCGGCAGGCCUAACACAUGCAAGUCGAACGGUAACAGGAAACAGCUUGCUGUUUCGCUGACGAGUGGCGGACGGGUGAGUAAUGUCUGGGAAACUGCCUGAUGGAGGGGGAUAACUACUGGAAACGGUAGCUAAUACCGCAUAACGUCGCAAGACCAAAGAGGGGGACCUUCGGGCCUCUUGCCAUCGGAUGUGCCCAGAUGGGAUUAGCUAGUAGGUGGGGUAACGGCUCACCUAGGCGACGAUCCCUAGCUGGUCUGAGAGGAUGACCAGCCACACUGGAACUGAGACACGGUCCAGGCUCCUACGGGAGGCAGCAGUGGGGAAUAUUGCACAAUGGGCGCAAGCCUGAUGCAGCCAUGCCGCGUGUAUGAAGAAGGCCUUCGGGUUGUAAAGUACUUUCAGCGGGGAGGAAGGGAGUAAAGUUAAUACCUUUACUCAUUGACGUUACCCGCAGAAGAAGCACCGGCUAACUCCGUG